GCUAAUACCGAAUGCCGUUACGAAGUGGCAUCACUUUGUAACGAAAGAAUUUCGGUUCGGGAGGGCCUCGCGGCCUAUCAGCUAGUUGGUGGGGUAACGGCCUACCAAGGCAUCGACGGGUAGCUGGUCUGAGAGGAUGAUCACCCACACUGGGACUGA
rnacentral:rRNA from 1 species